GCCAUGAUGGCGCGGGGCGGGUGCGGCUGCGGGUGCGGCUGGCUCUGGGUGGACGCCUGAACGCCUAACCUGUGACCCAGCGUAACUGGAGAAACAGAUUAUGUGUUCAGUGUGCUAUUGCUGUUUAGACGCGAGGAACCAGGACGUGCGGUGUUGGGAAGUUACAAUAACGUCUGUACCUGGGUAAAUAUCUAGAGACGGGCUGGAGGAACAGGGGAGCCUGCCUGAUAGCUGAAGAAAGCAGUCUCUGACAAAGAGUGUCUAAUCAUCUGAGCAUCCCUGUGGUACCCUGCCUCACCCAGUGCUGGAGCUUAUUCUCUGAUGGUUUGGUUUUAGCACAGAGCUUGCUGCUGAAGGCUCUCAAAUCUUGCUGCCCUGCCGGCUCCUGACACCGCCGGUGGGGGUGGAUUUUGCAUUUAUUACUUCACAGUGACACCUGCUGGAAAAGACCCCUUCCUUAGGCAGAAGUCUGUGCUGGAGCUAUUAAUGCUGAGCUCUGACUGCUGACCCAAGGUGUAACCCUGUCAGACAUCAUUUCCUCAAGCUAGCGGAGACUAGGACCUCCUGGGGAAACCCCCAAAGGUGCUCACUGCUCUGCUCUCUGAAACGGUGGUGGUGCACAGCUGAGAUGGAUGGCAAGAGUCUCUGAAAUCUGCAACCUAAAAUAUGCUAUCACCAUGCUGAUUUGUUAUUUUGGCAUGUUAGACAA